CAAGUGGCUGCCGUGCUGGGAAGACAGGGGUUGGAUGCCAGGAUGAUUGUGGCCUGGGUCAGUAUGGGUUCAACUGUUCCUCCACGUGUGGUCAGUGUAGCGGAUCGUCCGACUGUAAGAAGGAUGAUGGAAAGUGCACACAGGGAUGCCAAACAGGUUACCUCCUCCCUUUGUGUAAAGACUGUGUAGAAGGACACUAUGGUGUUAAUUGUUCACAACAAUGUGGCUCGUGUAAAGAUGACUCACCGUGCAAUACAACCACUGGUGUCUGUGUGCUGGGAUGUACAGAUAACUUUGAAGAACCAUAUUGCAAAU